rnacentral:rRNA from 1 species
GACGAACGCUGGCGGCGUGCUUAACACAUGCAAGUCGAACGGAAAGGCCCUGCCUUUGCUGGGUGCUCGAGUGGCGAACGGGAGAGUAACACGUGAGUAACCUGCGCUGGACUUUGGGAUAACUUGAGGAAACUGGGGCUAAUACAGGCUAGGAGCUCCUGCUGCAUGGUGGGGGUUGGAAAGUUUCGGCGGUUGGGGAUGGACGCGCGGCUUAUCAGCUUGUGGGGGGGAUAGUGGCUUACCAAGGCUUUGACGGAUAGCCGGCCUGAGAGGGUGACCGCCCACAUUGGGACUGAGAUACGGCCCAGACUCCUACGGGAGACAGCGGUGGGGAAUAUUGCACAGUGGGCGCAAGCGUGAUGCGGAAACGCCGCGUUCGGGAUGACGGCCUUCGAGGUGUAAACCGCUUUCGCCUGUGACGAAGCGUGAGUGACGGUAAUGGGUAAAGAAGCACCGGCUAACUACGUG